UUAUCUUAUUCAGUUUCUGAUACAGUUCACAGACCUUUUUAUAAUUUGAUUUCCAUUAUUGAUGUGCAGCCCCACAAUGAGUUUCUCAGAUACAUUGCAGGGUGAAAAAGAAGCCAAAGUCAGGACAGUUUUGUCAUCAGAGGGAGCAAUUGUGGAGCUACACCAUAAACUUUUUCCUAUCAUAAGCAGCUAAACCUUAUAUCUAUUCAGAGGACACGUUAUGGUUCUGCAUCCUUUAUAUGUAGUAACUCCAAAAAAUAAAAAAUCAUUUAGAUCAUACAAACAAUGAGUUUUCUCCUUUCUCUACCUAAGACUAUUUAAAAAAUGUAAUUUCUGCUCCUUCUUAAUAACUACCUGUGGAUCAGACUGAUGGUUAGGUCUGUCCCUCCUAAAAAAGCACAAAUUUUUGGGCAAGUUUAUCAGGAAAGAAAGAGCCGCUAUCUACAAUGAUAGGGUUACAAUGCUGGGUUACAACCUCUUCCAGAAUUGCUUCUGUAUUUUACAUGAAAUGGUUGCUGGAUAAAAUCCUUGAAACUGGUCUUGAGUUCUUGACAGGUUGAUACUUUAACUACUCCCUGGUGAUUCCAGUUUACUCUCCUUGGGAGGCAACGAACAAAAGCCUUCCUUGCAGAGCAGUACCCAGUUCAGCAGGAGGGACUGACAAAUGCUUUCAGCUGCUCAAUUGUACAUGGCUUAAUGGAUGGGAAGAUGUGAGUUUUCUUACCACCAGAAGCCUUUUGGCACAGUGCUACUCAUCCUGAUGGCUGUCCUAGGGCUGGAGCUGUGUAAAGGAUGGAAAGUUUCACCUAUAUCCCAGACUGCCAGGAGACAGAUGGGCCUCAACUGAUUGUGCAACUCGCCUCUCUUCGUAGUAUCACAGUGACUCAGAUGAAUUGUGAUUUUGGACAUCACUAAUGGACUAAUGGCUUUUAGAAACAUAACAGGCUGCAGCUUCUAAUAUCUGUUCUGGUAAUGAAGCCCUGUGAAUCCUAGAAUACCUCUCUGUGAUUUUCUGUCUGUAUUUACUCUUGUCAUCUUUCAAGCAUCCAGUGUCUUGGUGAUUGUCUGUGAAUGAACACACCAUUUGCAGAAAUCAAAAUCUCUUCCUGAAAAGAGAAGCAAGCCAAAAGUUUUCUUCAUAUGUAUUAUUGGUAAGCCAUUUAUUCAGCUUCUAUUCUGUUGCUAAAGGUAGGCUUGGGUGCUUUUUAAUGACUGUGUGUUUAUAAUAGUUACUUUCUCCUCAGAGAUCUGCAGAUCUUAAUUAGCUUGUGUUAUAAGCAGCUUUCCAGACCUAAGGCAGAUGGAAAAAAUUGUUUCCCUGAGCCCUUCUAUGUCUUACUGACUUCCAGAACAUAUUGAAAGGUUCAUUUUUGUAAAUUAAAUUGUUUAAUUUG
rnacentral:lncRNA from 1 species